GACGAACGCUGGCGGCGCGCCUAACACAUGCAAGUCGAGCGAUGAAAUUUUAACCGAUCUCUUCGGAGAGAAGAUAAAAUGGAUUAGCGGCGGACGGGUGAGUAACACGUGAGAAACCUGCCUUUCACAAGGGGAUAGCCUCGGGAAACCGGGAUUAAUACCCUAUGACACAUUUCCUUCGCAUGGAAGAAAUGUUAAAACUCCGGUGGUGAAAGAUGGUCUCGCGCCUGAUUAGCUAGUUGGUGGGGUAACGGCCCACCAAGGCCAUGAUCAGUAACCGGCCUGAGAGGGUGAACGGUCACAUUUGAACUGAGACACGGUCCAAACUCCUACGGGAGGCAGCAGUGGGGAAUAUUGCACAAUGGAGGAAACUCUGAUGCAGCGACGCCGCGUGAGCGAUGAAGGCUUUCGAGUCGUAAAGCUCUGUCCUAUGGGAAGAUAAUGACGGUACCAUAGGAGGAAGCCCCGGCUAACUACGUG
rnacentral:rRNA from 1 species